AUGAACGCUGGCGGCGUGCCUAAUACAUGCAAGUCGAGCGAAUGGAUUGAGAGCUUGCUCUCAAGAAGUUAGCGGCGGACGGGUGAGUAACACGUGGGUAACCUGCCCAUAAGACUGGGAUAACUCCGGGAAACCGGGGCUAAUACCGGAUAAUAUUUUGAACUGCAUGGUUCGAAAUUGAAAGGCGGCUUCGGCUGUCACUUAUGGAUGGACCCGCGUCGCAUUAGCUAGUUGGUGAGGUAACGGCUCACCAAGGCAACGAUGCGUAGCCGACCUGAGAGGGUGAUCGGCCACACUGGGACUGAGACACGGCCCAGACUCCUACGGGAGGCAGCAGUAGGGAAUCUUCCGCAAUGGACGAAAGUCUGACGGAGCAACGCCGCGUGAGUGAUGAAGGCUUUCGGGUCGUAAAACUCUGUUGUUAGGGAAGAACAAGUGCUAGUUGAAUAAGCUGGCACCUUGACGGUACCUAACCAGAAAGCCACGGCUAACUACGUGCCAGCAGCCGCGGUAAUACGUAGGUGGCAAGCGUUAUCCGGAAUUAUUGGGCGUAAAGCGCGCGCAGGUGGUUUCUUAAGUCUGAUGUGAAAGCCCACGGCUCAACCGUGGAGGGUCAUUGGAAACUGGGAGACUUGAGUGCAGAAGAGGAAAGUGGAAUUCCAUGUGUAGCGGUGAAAUGCGUAGAGAUAUGGAGGAACACCAGUGGCGAAGGCGACUUUCUGGUCUGUAACUGACACUGAGGCGCGAAA
rnacentral:rRNA from 2 species